ensembl:lncRNA
CGGGAGCGCCGGCUCCUGCCUCCCAUUCAUGUAACCUGUGUGUGUCUCUCUUUCUCUCUGUGUGUAACAGAGAGAGGGAGAGAGAGAGCGAGGCAAGGAGAGGAGGAGGAGGAGGGGGGAAGCUUUAAAUAAAGCCUUUGGAUUGCAGCUGCUUAUUUUGGGCAGUCCUACCAGGGACGAUUCUUGCCAAGAAAGAAGCUGGACCGGUCUUUUUUAUUUUGAUUUUGAUUUUUGGGGGUGGCAGUGGUGUGUUGCUGAUCUGCCUGCUGAGAUGAGCUCCGGUGCCUGCCUGUAGUUGCCCGCUUUGGGAUCGCUGGACACAUAAGUGGCAUUUCGCUGGGGGAAGCCUGCAGACAUGUGAGAAUGGUUGGACCACUGCAGUGGCACUCUGAUUUUUGUGGAUCGUGAACACAAAAAGGGAUUGAGAAGACACCAUCCGAGUUAUUCUGGCACAUGACUUGAGUGCUUUCUAUUCUUAGACAAAUGAGGAUCUGAAAUAUAAACCAAAUUGAAUGGAAAACAGUACUCAGGAGAAGAAAAUUGUUCUUCGUGUUCUGUAUGACAUCCACUCUUAUAGAACACCUGACUGUGAAGUGGAUCCAGAGGAGGGCCACAGAGUUAGUGAAUGGUAACACUGAAAUCAAGAACCAUGCUUCUCCAGCUCCAAACAAAGGCACUGCUACUUCUCGGCAGCACCAGGAUUUGACCUGGGGGUCCUCCAGAGCAGGGACUACAAAAGAUUAACAUUUCAGUCUGCUGAGCCCACCAGUGCGGUCUUGCCUUAUCGCAUAAGCUCUGCCGGAGGAAUGAAUUACCCUAGUUCAUUAAGACUCGUUUUGAAUUGUGGUGAGAGGUCACCACAUAAGUCACCUCCAGUCUAUUUUGCGAAUAAUAUGGAUUAUGAUAAAAGCCGGCUGGGAGGCUGAAGCCCAAGGAUUUUGUUUUCUUUAUUCUUCAAGGUGGGUAGAAUACAGGGUGGGGAAACCCUGAUCUGGACAUUUCCUAACACUGCAUAGUAGACUAUAGAAAAGUCCUUUUUUUGUUCUUUUUUUUUUUUUUUUAACCCGUGAAUAGGUGACCUCUUGAUCUCUCUGACCCCUUUAUUUUUGCCAUGAAAGAACCAAAACUAGCUGUGCCCAUACAAAAUCUUCUUUCGCUUCAGUUUUCUCAUGAUUAAAUUCCCUGCUGUGUUUUUGUUUAAGUGCUCUGAUGAUGCCCUUUGGAAUCGGGCAGAUGUUUGACUCUUUGAAACUGCAUUUUUUUUAAUUUAGCAGUGGUCUACAGUUGAGUCGUGUUGAUCCACAUCAGGAAUGAAUGAGAAAUGUUUCUGUAGUACCAUUCAAAUCUCACCACCCAAAAGUACUUUGCAAGUGAUACACUGGGAUACAGUAAUUGGUAAUUUGCAUCAAAUUACUCUGAUGUGCAGAAUGCUGU